UACAGAGGGGGCAAGCGUUGUUCGGAAUUACUGGGCGUAAAGGGCGCGUAGGCGGCCUGCUAAGUCGAACGUGAAAUCCCCGGGCUCAACCCGGGAACUGCGUCCGAUACUGGCAGGCUUGAAUCCGGGAGAGGGAUGUGGAAUUCCAGGUGUAGCGGUGAAAUGCGUAGAUAUCUGGAGGAACACCGGUGGCGAAGGCGGCAUCCUGGACCGGUAUUGACGCUGAUGGCGCGAAAGCCAGGGGAGCCAAAGCGGG
rnacentral:rRNA from 1 species